rnacentral:rRNA from 1 species
GGGUAAAUGGCUCACCUAGGCGACGAUACAUAGCCGACCUGAGAGGGUGAUCGGCCACACUGGGACUGAGACACGGCCCAGACUCCUACGGGAGGCAGCAGUAGGGAAUCUUCGGCAAUGGGGGCAACCCUGACCGAGCAACGCCGCGUGAGUGAAGAAGGUUUUCGGAUCGUAAAGCUCUGUUGUAAGUCAAGAACGGGUGUGAGAGUGGAAAGUUCACACUGUGACGGUAGCUUACCAGAAAGGGACGGCUAACUACGUGCCAGCAGCCGCGGUAAUACGUAGGUCCCGAGCGUUGUCCGGAUUUAUUGGGCGUAAAGCGAGCGCAGGCGGUUUGAUAAGUCUGAAGUUAAAGGCUGUGGCUCAACCAUAGUUCGCUUUGGAAACUGUCAAACUUGAGUGCAGAAGGGGAGAGUGGAAUUCCAUGUGUAGCGGUGAAAUGCGUAGAUAUAUGGAGGAACACCGGUGGCGAAAGCGGCUCUCUGGUCUGUAACUGACGCUGAGGCUCGAAAGCGUGGGGAGCGAAGUCGACGCGGCCG